GAGUUUGAUCCUGGCUCAGGAUGAACGCUAGCGGCAGGCCUAACACAUGCAAGUCGAACGGUAACAUGAGAGCUUGCUCUUGAUGACGAGUGGCGCACGGGUGCGUAACGCGUAUACAAUCUACCUUUUACAGAGAGAUAGCCCAGAGAAAUUUGGAUUAAUACCUCAUAGUAUUGUUUUAUGGCAUCAUAAGACAAUUAAAGAUUUAUCGGUAAAAGAUGAGUAUGCGUUCUAUUAGUUAGUUGGAGUGGUAACGGCACCCCAAGACAGCGAUAGAUAGGGGCCCUGAGAGGGGGAUCCCCCACACUGGUACUGAGACACGGACCAGACUCCUACGGGAGGCAGCAGUGAGGAAUAUUGGACAAUGGAGGCAACUCUGAUCCAGCCAUGCCGCGUGCAGGAAGACUGCCCUAUGGGUUGUAAACUGCUUUUAUACAGGAAGAAACCGCUCUACGUGUAGAGCUCUGACGGUACUGUAAGAAUAAGGAUCGGCUAACUCCGUGCCAGCAGCCGCGGUAAUACGGAG
rnacentral:rRNA from 1 species